AGCGGAGCGGGCCGGCGCUGCCAGUCCCCGCAGCGGCGCGCAGGCGGCCCCCGCGCCCGCCGCCGGCUGGAUCCCGCCGCGCCUUCAGCAACCGGCGCCGCCGGUCCCCGCCGCUUCCAGGGAGCUGAGGGCAGCGCGGGGGGCUCCGAGGCUGCCGUCCUGGGGAACUGCUGCACCAAUAUUGCAAUUGCCCUUUAAACAGCAAAAAAAAAAAAAGGGGGGGGAAAAAAGAAAGAAAGAAAAAAAAAAAAAGAUGAAGACGCUUAAAUGCCGCCUCCUGCCAAAAGUAAAGAGCAAAUCUCAGUUGCGAUGGCUCUGCUAAAACUUGAUCAUGCGGGAUUUCAAGCGAUAAAGAGCUGCCGGGCUUGUAUUUACUGCGGUGGGAACAAGUUGCAGGAUGAAAUCCAGGCAUUGAGGGACCUAUUUUCCACUUCGUUGUUUCCAAGGGAAUCUACUGAAAUGACUUUGAGGAUCUUUAAACUGGAACUAUGUGGAGGGAGAAUGCACCCGCCUUUGCCUGUCUCCCUGUCCGCCUAGCUCUCCUCCCGGGAUGCCAUGUCGCUCGCAGGCUGCGGCGGGGAUCACGCGUGCCGCCAGCAGCGCGGAGGCCGCCCCUGAGCCCGGGCACCGAGGGGCGCGACAUGCCCGCGGCCGCGGCAUGCCCUGCACCAGCACCGGCACCACCGGCACCGGCACCACCAGCACCCGCCGCCGCUCCGUCUCCUGAGGCGCUGGGGGAUAAAGCUGGCAAAGAUGAGGAAAAUUGGCUGUGCUCUCCUGGUACUCCAAGCUCUUCUGGCGCCUCUGGAUCUUGUUCAUGGAGCGGAGAAAAGUUAUCCCAUCCUGAACAUUGCAGUGAUUCUGGGAAGGACCAAGGAUAUCACAGAGAGAGAUAUCAGAGCUCUCUGGACCAGGGAAAUGUCAGCAGACCUGACUGUUGAUGUCAAUGUAGUGACCCUUCUGGUGAACCAGACUGACCCUAAGAGCAUCAUAACACAUGUUUGCGACUUGAUGUCAGGCACCAAGAUCCAUGGAGUGGUUUUUGGAGAUGAUACUGAUCAGGAGGCAGUAGCUCAGAUUUUGGAUUUUAUUUCAUCUCAGACUUCUAUUCCAAUUCUUGGAAUUCAUGGCGGAGCCUCCAUGAUAAUGGCAGAUAAGGAUGUGAUGUCCACGUUCUUCCAGUUUGGGGCUUCCAUCCAGCAAGAAGCCAUCGUCAUGCUGAAGAUCAUGCAGGAUUAUGACUGGCAUGUGUUCUCUCUGGUAACCACCACCUUCCCUGGAUAUCGAGACUUCAUCAAUGUCAUUAAGACCACAGUGGAAAAUAGUUUCGUGGGCUGGGACAUGCAGAAUGUCAUUAUACUUGAUACUGCCUUUGGAGAUGCCAAGACCCAAAUUCAGCUGAAGAAAAUUCAUUCAUCUGUCAUCCUGCUAUAUUGUUCCAAGGAUGAAGCUGUCUACAUACUGGAUGAGGCUCGUUCCCUGGGCCUUACUGGCUAUGAUUUCUUUUGGAUAGUUCCCAGCCUGGUUAGUGGUAACACAGAAAUCACUCCCAAGGAGUUUCCUUCAGGACUCAUUUCAGCAGCUUAUGAUGAAUGGGACUACAGUUUAGAAGCUCGAGUACGGGAUGGCCUUGGGAUUAUUGCCACAGCUGCAUCAGCCAUGCUGGAAAAAUACUCCUUCAUUCCUGAAGCAAAAACUAGCUGCUAUGGACAACCGGAGAAAAAUGACCGGCCGUCUCACACCUUGCACAAGUUUAUGAUGAAUGUGACUUGGGAAGGCAAAGAUUUGUCCUUCACGGCAGAUGGUUACCAGGCGCACCCCAGGCUGGUGGUCAUCGUGCUCAACAACGACCGCGAGUGGGAAAAGGUGGGGAAAUGGGAGAACAACUCCCUGAGCCUGAAGUACUCCGUCUGGCCGAGGUACAGCUCUUUUGCAGACAGCGACCCAGACGAUAACCAUUUGAGUAUUGUCACCCUGGAGGAGGCUCCCUUUGUCAUUGUUGAGGAUGUGGAUCCUUUGAUGGAAAGUUGCCAAAAAAACACCGUGCCAUGUCGUAAAUUUGUCAAAAUUAACAACUCAACUAAUGAGGGAACUAACGUAAAGAAGUGCUGCAAAGGAUUCUGCAUCGAUAUCUUGAAGAAGUUGUCUAAAACUGUCAAGUUCACAUACGACCUGUAUUUGGUGACUAAUGGGAAACAUGGCAAAAAAGUCAAUAAUGUGUGGAAUGGAAUGAUUGGUGAAGUGGUAUAUCAUCGUGCAGUUAUGGCUGUGGGGUCUCUCACUAUUAAUGAAGAGCGCUCUGAAGUGGUUGACUUUUCAGUGCCAUUUGUUGAGACUGGGAUUAGUGUCAUGGUGUCACGGAGCAAUGGCACAGUUUCACCAUCUGCUUUUCUAGAGCCUUUUAGUGCUUCUGUCUGGGUGAUGAUGUUUGUGAUGCUUCUCAUUGUGUCUGCUAUGGCUGUCUUUAUAUUUGAGUACUUCAGUCCUGUGGGAUAUAACAGGAACUUAGCACAAGGGAGAGAUCCCCACGGACCAUCGUUCACCAUCGGAAAGGCAGUGUGGUUACUCUGGGGCUUGGUAUUCAACAACUCUGUGCCUGUGCAAAACCCCAAGGGGACGACAAGUAAAAUCAUGGUGUCGGUUUGGGCUUUCUUUGCUGUCAUCUUCCUGGCUAGUUAUACUGCCAACUUAGCUGCAUUUAUGAUUCAAGAGGAAUUUGUUGAUCAAGUGACUGGACUGAGUGAUAAAAAGUUCCAAAGGCCAUAUGAUUAUUCACCUCCUUUUCGGUUUGGAACAGUCCCAAAUGGAAGCACAGAGAGGAAUAUCAGAAACAACUACCCUGAUAUGCACCUUUACAUGACGAAGUAUAAUCAGAAAGGAGUUGAAGAUGCCUUGGUCAGCUUGAAAACUGGGAAGUUGGAUGCUUUCAUCUAUGAUGCAGCAGUGCUGAAUUACAAGGCUGGAAGAGAUGAAGGCUGCAAACUUGUCACAAUUGGGAGUGGGUACAUCUUUGCCACUACGGGCUAUGGAAUAGCACUUCAGAAAGGAUCACCUUGGAAGAGACAAAUUGACCUAGCCCUCCUUCAGUUUGUUGGAGAUGGGGAAAUGGAAGAGCUAGAAACCCUGUGGCUGACUGGUAUUUGCCACAACGAGAAGAAUGAAGUCAUGAGCAGCCAGCUGGACAUUGACAACAUGGCAGGAGUGUUUUACAUGCUUGCAGCAGCCAUGGCACUCAGUUUAAUAACCUUUGUCUGGGAGCACUUAUUUUACUGGAAACUUAGAUUCUGCUUCACUGGAGUCUGCUCAGAUAGGCCAGGAUUGUUGUUCUCAAUCAGCAGGGGUAUUUACAGCUGCAUUCAUGGAGUACACAUUGAAGAAAAAAAGAAGUCUCCUGACUUUACUUUGACCAAUUCCCAAACCAACAUGUUAAAACUACUGCGAACAGCAAAAAAUAUGACCAAUAUCAAUCCUUCAAGAAUUAACUCCCCCAAAAGAACAGCUGAUUUUAUUCAGAGGGGUUCCUUGAUUAUGGAUAUGGUCAUGGAUAAGGGAAACUUGAUAUUUUCUGAUAACAGAUCCUUUCAGACUAAGGAUAACUUCUUUGGUGACAACAUGAGUGAACUGCAGACACUUCCUGGCAAUCGACACAAGGACAAUCUCAACAACUAUGUUUUCCAAGGUCAGCACCCUCUCACACUGAAUGAGUCCAACCCAAACACAGUAGAGGUUGCAGUAACAGCAGAAGCAAAAGCGAACUCCAGACCCAGGCAGCUUUGGAGGAAAUCUGUUGAAUCUUUGCGUCAAGAUUCUGUACGUCAGGGCCAAGGUUCCCAGAGAGAGAACGGGUCUGACGAAAACAGGCAGCUUUCAGUGAAAAGCCAAAGAUACCUUCCUGAAGAGAUUGCCCAUUCAGAUGUAUCGGAGGCAUCAAGCCGAGCUACUUGUCAUAUGGAAGCUGAAAACAACAACAAGCAUCACAAAACCAAGGACAAUUUUAAAAAAAGGACAGUAGCGUCAAAAUACCCAAAAGACUGUAGUGAAGUGGAACUGACAUAUCUGAAAACCAAACCGAGCUCUCCACGGGAUAAAAUCUACACGAUUGAUGCUGACAAGGAGCCAGGAUUCCGCUUGGACACACCUCAGUACAUCGAAAACAUUGUCCUUCCAGAUACUAUAGAGUUUCCUGAUGUUUAUCAAGAUCACAAUGACAACUACAGGAAAGCAGAACACGCAAACAGGACUCCCUUGCAUAACGAAGACAGUCUUCCAAAUAAUGACCAGUACAAACUUUAUGCAAAGCACUACACUUUAAAAGAUAAAAAUUCUUCCCUAGUUGACAUGAACGAUAGGUACCGACAGAACUCCACCCACUGCAGGAGCUGUCUCUCCAAUUUGCCCACUUACGCGGGACACUAUUCAGGCAGAUCUCCCUAUAAAUGCGACGCGUGCUUGCGGAUGGGGAACCUCUAUGAUAUUGAAGAAGAUCAGAUGCUGCAGGAUACAACGAACUUAUCACUUCCUGAAGAAGUCUACGAUCAUAGUUGGUCACAAAACAAUGCUCUGCAAUAUCAUAAAAAAAACAAGUUGAGGAUUAGCAGGCAACAUUCUUUUGAUAAUAUCGCUGAUAAGUCCAGGGAAAUGGAUAUUGGAAGACCUUCUCGUAGUAUAAGCUUGAAAGAAAGAGAGAAAUUUCUACAAAGUAGUCCAUAUGCAAGCAUGUUUAGUGUUCCCUCAAGCAAACUGUUGGGCAACAAGGCCUCACUUUUAACUCAUGCUCUGGAGGACAGUAAGCGGAGCAAGUCCCUGUAUCCCGUUCACUCGGACGAUAACCCCUUCCUGCACUCCUACCGCGACGACCAGCACUUAUCUCUUAGGCGGAGUCCGGCUGAUCUUUAUAAACAUUCCUUACCAACAAGAGGAAGAAAUGAUAAUUAUUUAAGGUCAUCCAUACAGUCUACAGCAUCAUACAGUUCCAGGGAUGGUCGGAUCCAUAAUGACAUGUACAUUUCACAGCAUGUUUUGCCUUACGUUGCAAAUAGGAAUAGCUUGUACUCAACUCCAAGGGUUUUAAAUUCCUGUAGCAAUAGACGUGUGUAUAAGAAAAUGCCUAGCAUUGAAUCAGAUGUUUAAAUUUUCCAUGAACACUUUAUCUAUAGGGAAAAAAUAGUUGCCACCAUCUUAGAGGGAGAAUUUAUCCUUUAACAGUAUCCUGCUAUGGUAAAUGAUAUGUAAACCUCUCCCUUUCCCAGUGUACUUCUGUACAUGAAUAGGUAAACUAGUAUGCUCUUAACCAUCCUUUUAAAAUAUGUCUUGUUGAAAAGGAUAAAAAAUAGCCAUUUAUGUAUGCUUUAUAUAUAAAUGGCAAGCUGUACGGAAAUAGCCCCAAUAUAUGUUGGCAACUAUGCUGUUUUGUAUCUAAUCAUUUUAUUAUUUCGGUUAUUCUAAUUUAUGUUGCUAAGUAUCAUUCAAUGUACUUUUGUCCUUAGAAAUGUUUAAUGAUUUCCUAGUACUGGAUAAGCAAUAUGGUAUGCAUGUAGUGUGACACAGACAAAAAGAAUUAGGAAUGCAUUUGCACAGUUUCAAAAGUAAGACUCUAAAAGAGAACAGAAAGCUAGACUUUCAAAAAUAUAUUUUAGCUUCAUAAGCAUUUUCAAAGCCAAAUAAUAAUAUAAAAAAAACCCCAACCCCUGGGACCUUAAUAAAUAAAAUACAGCGUGUUAGCACAAAAUUAGUAUGUUUGUUCUAGACUGACAGAACAUAAAGGGAAAGGCUGUAGGCCCAAACAUGUGAACUGCUGUGUACCAAAAGGAAGCCCCAUGGAUAUUGGUUAAUGUUAAUGUACAAAUGUUUUUCUUAUAUUUCACACGGACUUACCAUUACAAACUAAGUUCAUUGAAAAGUCUGCAGUCAUCUUGUAAGAAACUUCACAGCUGCCUAAUCCAGAGUAUAUAUUUUUAGAUAUCACUAUAUGACACUUACCGUGGAGCUGUGGACUUUAUUAGUAACCUUGAGGCCUAAUGUCUGCUGCUAUUCUUGAAGAGGAGAAAAGAAUCUUCCUGCAUAAGUGGCCAUCCUUUCUGUACCUUUCUGGAUGGUGCUGGUGACUUGUUACAUUUUCCUGAUUACAGCUCUAGCAGUUUGUUGGUCUUUCCUAUCACCAAGAUUUCCCGUGACUCCAGCUGGAACUGAAUCAGGCUGUAAAUGAUAUGGGCCAUUCUUGGUAGCAUGUCCUGUAGUGUUACACUGCUCCUGGACGACAACUUUUAUGGAGGCAGGAUAUUGAAUUGCUGAGGAAUGCAGUAGGUACACGGAGGUAAAAACAGCUACGUAGACAUACCUGCCUCUCGCUUUUUUCCUCUUUUAAAGACAUUGUAGAAUUUCUUCAUGUUUUUGUCUUUCCCUUUUCACCACAGUAAAUUUUCCUUUUUCCUUUCAAAUGGAUUUUGUGUUCUGCUUGUGUUCCUUAGAGCAGUGUAGCCACCCACUAACUUAAACGCAUGGAAAUAAGAUAUUUUAAUAUAUAAGAUAAAAUUAAGGAGAAUUAAGAGUUUUUGUAUUUCUAGAAAAUUUCAUUUAAUGUUUUUUCAGCUUUUGCUCAGAAUUCGUUAUUCUGCUAUGUAAGAAGCUUGGUGAGGAGAAAGAGUGCUGUGGACAAACAGAACCCAAAUCACCGCCAGCUCACUGUGUUUUAGCAGCAUCUCAUAAAUACAUGUCUCCUGCUCUACGAUCUUUGAGAACCACUUAGGAGGUGAAGUAAGGCUCACAAAGGAAAUUGGAAGUGGUGGGGCUUUUCCUGGUGAAAAUUAAUCCUUUUACAGAGUUUUAAAGAAAGAAAAGCUAUAGCUGUGUGUCUAGCAUUGGGUGUCUGUGCUGGAAGGCUCAGCUCUCUCUGUUGCCAGUGGGGAGAGAGAGAAAGCUCCCUCUGGACGGUGGUUCAGAGCACAAGGCUGGGAGCAGGUCUGGGUGCGGUGUGUCCUGGAGAUUUUACCUCUCUCUGUUGAUUUUUGUAGAAAGUAUAGGCUCCUAACGAAGACAUCUGAGAUAGGGGGGCUUAGAAAAGUAAUGGUCUACUUAUUCCCAGCCUCAAAAAUUUGCUAGUUAAAUCUGCAAGUGAGUUCCAAGUUAAAUCUUGAAGGUGCAUGGAGGUUCCUGUGCUUAUGCAAGUUGUUACUGAGGUGGCACCUGGCAUUUGUGGGUUUUGCAGUUCUCCCAGCCUAGUCCCCAUCAUUGUUUUCUUUAGACCACGUGGCUGUCCAGUGUGAAAUAAAAGUGUCAGAAUCUAUUCCUUGUAGAAUAACUUGCUAUUUUCACAUUUCUGCAGUGUAGCAUAUGCAUCUUGGUGAAGGGGAAGAUUUUGGUACUACUUCUUCCCUUGCUUUGUUAAUCAAUGGAGAACAGGAAUUGUGGUACCAAUUUAAGCGUAUAAGAGUCAGCUUGGAUUUAGGAAGAAUUCAAGAGGUGAAUCUUUUUGUUGUUUUACAUUGCAUUUAAGAUGUUUGAUAUAUAAAACCUAGUGAAAACAGAUCUUUUAUGGCAAAAUCCUCUUUUGGUUAAUACAGAACAGUAACUAUCCUGUGGCUUGACUAGAUCAUGUUGUGUUAAUCAUCACAUCGUGUGCUUCUUUCAAGAUGGAGUGUCAUACAUUCCCUUGCUAAACCUUACCUUUCCCAACUCCAGUCCUGGUUUAGCUCAAAAGUCUUUUUAAAGUAGGUAUCUUUCCUGUGUAGAGCAAUCUGGUUUGCAAUGUAAAAACAUUUUUCAGUAUACACUUAAAAUUGUUUGCUUUACCAAUGCUAUUCUUUUAAUCUAAACUUCCUUCCUAUUGAGAGCUGAGCCUUCGAAGUACAACAGUGCUGAAGGAACUUCUGAAAAAGCAAAGAGGCCUUUCGAAGUACAACUUUUAUGAUAGGAGCCAUUUCCCCACCCAAACUCACCUGUACUGUCGUAUUUAAAUGUAUUAGCAAUAUGUUAGUAUUUACUGUCAGUAGGAGGGAGCACAGUUUGGUCACAGCUGUGUAUUUAUUUGUGGGUGUAAAUGCAAGUACAGCCAGGUAUGUGAUGUUAAGGACAGGCUCAGCCUGCUGUGGCUGGAGUCCCCUGUGCAGUCCCCUGUGCAGCUGCAGUUGGAUGGGGGUAGUAGCCUCAAGACUGUCAUGUCCCUUCCAUCGCUCUGGUCAUGCAGACUCUCCUGUCUGAUGUGCACAUAUUGUACAUAGCGUAAAAUUCUUGUUGAUGCUCAGCUUUCAUUGUGGAAUUAGUCCCAUGUUCACCUUCAUUACACUGUCACAGCGAUGUUGGUGGGAUGGAGAGGGGGUUGUCUGUGCUGUCUGGUGUCUGUUGCCCUGUUAAAUGGGAGCAGAAACCCUGCCCUGCUUCUUUCUGCGCUGCUGGGAAGGGUUACUGCACCCCUUGUAAAUAAGCUCCUCAUUUAUUUCACCCCAGUCAGGCCUUUAAUUUUAUUUUUUUUUUGCCCUGCUUCUUUCAACCUGUGUACAGAGUAUGCUCUCUACAAACCUGUGCUCUUCCAAUGUCCUGCAGCUUUGGAAGUCAGGAGUAGGAGUGUGCAUCGCCCUGCAAUGCAGUGAAAAUGCACUUAGUUCUUGCAGGUUCAUGAGCUUUUUUUGUUACAUACUGCAGAAUAUAUCUGCUGUGGGUGAAACUGUUUGGGGUUUUGUUUGGGUUUUUUUUUUUUAAUGAAUGCCAGUCUAACAGCUGUAAGAAUCCACUGCUGAUUAUGUGAUGAUUUUGUCAUAUCUAUAAUUUAAGAACCAGAAAUAAUAUAAGUAAAAUUAAGUUACCUCACUAUUUACCAGGUUUUUGUUGUUUUGCACUUAAAUGACACUUUUUACUCCUUUUGCUUAAUUCUUUACCUGUAUUGAAAACGAUGCUAAAUUAGUAGAGAAUAUAACCAUGCUGUAACAUUGUCAUGCAAUACCUUUAUUAGUAGAUAACCACACUAAGUAUAGUAUUACAUAUUUAAAAGAGAGAUGGUUUUGACUCUCCAACUCUUAAAAAGUAGUGGUGAUAAGCAGUUAUACUCCUAGAUGUUUUGUCCUUUCCCUUUUGUAUUAGUAUUUGUUUUCACUAAUAUAUUUCAAAAAUUAUAUUUCUAUGUGCACGUUAGAAAACUGUGAAAAUAAAUACCAAUAAAUAUUGUGAUACUUAUUCAGUGCACUCUAAGUUCCAAGUGAGAUGAUACUUUGCUUGGGAAUUGAUGGAAGUUUCCUCACUUCUCAUAAAUGGUACUGAGCUUUAAUGUGGGCAAAUGGUAAUAUUUACAGUGACAUUAAAUUUUAAUGGAGAAUGUCUUGUUUUGCACUUGUAAUACUAUUAGAAGAAAUGAUAUGUUUUUCUCAGCAAAUGCAUUAUGAGACUACAUUUUUUUAAUUUGUUUUGUGCUUUGCAGUACGUAAGAAUAGCUGUUUUGAAGAGAUUUGUGUUAUAUCAUUACUACAGGAUUCUUUAGUCUUACAAUUUUUUAUUGAACCCGUUUAAUAAUGGUGUUUAAUGGCAAAAACCUUUUGGAAAUAUAUUUUGGCUUCUGUUUCACAUGCAAACCCUGUGUUUGGACUCACAGUGAUGCAGUUGAAGCCCUCAUGAGGUUGCUGUGCCUUCCCGUGCUACUGGGGAAGGAGGCCUUCCUUGCUCGUUGUUAGAGGAGUUGAGAAAAAUUUUGCAGGAUGUCUUGUGCAACAUUUGAAGUGUAAAUGAUCUUCAAAAGUGAAAAAAAAAAAAUAAAUUGGAGGUUCACAGUUAUCCACACUAGCGGGUGGUCUGUGACAGGCUGCAGGGUGUGUGGUUUCUGGAGGAAAUGAUAAUUUUUAACUAAAGUGAUUUGAAUUCUACUUAAGUUUCUGAAAGUCACUGAAAAAAACGGGAGUUUUCUUUUUUUUUUUUUUUAAAAGCCAAAGUCUUUCUGUUGUCAUACGAGGUUUCACAGGAAAAUGGGCCAAAGAAUACAAUUAAAUAUGCAAAAGGUUAAUCCUAUGGAAAAGGGUAUCCUAUCAUCGUGAUAUGCACAAGCAUGUCAAUGGUAAUAGGAACAAUGUGUGUAAUUUUCCUGUAUAUUGCUAUGUAGGUUGCACUAUUUUGAAUGACGCAAGCUUGAUAUUUUAAUUACCAAAUACCAUAAGAAGCUUUUAUUAAUAGUUUCAACUUUUUAACCUAAAUAUAUAUACAGUAUAGACACACGUGCGUGCAUACACUUCCUAACUUAGUCAUGGUGAGUAAUCUCCCACGGCCGUGGGACACAUUCCAGCAGUGCUUUAUUUUAAGUGAUUCUCCUCCCUCCUUCCCAAACCUCCCAGAUCCACUGAGCCUCUAGCAGCACUUAUCGUAGCCUUGGUACCCAUCAGAGAGGAGGCUGAAGGACUUGCUGGGAUGGGGAUUGCUUUGUGCUAGGACACGUGAAAACACAUCCGAGGACAGUUCCUGUCCAAAAGAAUUUGGAAAUGGUACUCACUAGAAAUAACAGAGCCAUAGGAAAAGUGUCUUCUCAUGCUGUUGUGAAAAUUCAUGGCCAGAGAGGGUCUGUUGGCCUGAUUUUUAAAUUCUGUGUCAGGUUACUCAAUCUACACCUGGUCAUUAAGCAUGUUACUUAAGGUAGCUGAGGAAGGACACCUAAAAAACAAAAAUUCCCAGGAAAGCUCAGCUGGUGUGUGCACCUGUGGCCGCUGGUGUAUUCCUCAUGCAGACUGAGCAGUCUUCAAAAUCCUAUUUAGCGGUGGUGGUGGAAUCAGAAUCACUUUUUCUCAGUGAACAGGCUUUUGAAGUUGCUAUACCUGAUGGUGUGGAGAUUUUUUGACCAAGAGAUAAUUGUGGUAUUGGGCUUCUUUUCUAAAUUUACUAAAUUAGUAGUUAGUGCUCUAACCAAAACUUCUGAUGAAAAAAAUACCUUGGAAAAUAUUUGUUUGAAGUAAUUCCUGAGGUUUUUUGCAAAGGGAGGGUUAGAUAGUUACUAAUUUUUCCACCUUAACCUAGAAACAGGGUCAGAUUUUGUCUAUGGUUCAUUGCAAGUGUGUCUUAGAGAGGAACCUGGUUCCAAGUCCUUUGUUUGCAAGAAGAAGAUUUUUGGUUAACUCAUUUUUACAUGGCCUAGGUCUGUAUUCCAAACUUAGGCCAAAAGCCUUUCGACUUAAAUAGGGAUGUGUGAGUGAGUGAUGGGAGAGCAGAUCCUUAGUGCAGUCCCUGCUAAGAAUUUAAAAAAAAAACAACAAACAACAAAAACCAAAACCUCAUGUUGCAAAGGUAUGGAAGUUGCAUCAUGAAAAAUUGUGUGCAGCUAGGAAGGAAACUAGUGCAAUUUUUAGUAAGAAGAGUUUACAGUUUAUACUUGAUAUCAGCUAUAAUAUUUUGAAAUAGUCUUACUCACUUCAGAAUGUCCAUUUUGCACUGAUGAAGAACAGCUCGAUCUCUCUGUCUUCACACCUCACACCCACAUACACAGUGUAACUUGUGUCUUCCCUGCUGAAACCAGAAGGUACAAACAGAAUUCAUUAAUGUGUUAGGCAAACUCCUACCUGAUCCUUAACUAAGUAUGCUAUUUUUAUACAAAAUUUGCAUCCGUGCAUUUCAGGUUCUCUCAGAAGCACUUCACCUGUGAGUUAAUAAUGUUCAUUUUAAUUCAUCAGAUUCAAAUUUACACUAAACCUGAAGGGCAUUUUGUGCUUCCUUUCAUUCUGUUUAAUGAUUUUUGCUGGCUUAGAUGAAACACUUAAUAUUUCUGUGCUGCUAAACAAAAAACAUCAGAAAUAUUUUAAAAUCUCAAAAUUACACUCUUAAAAACAUUUUUACCUGCUUACUUGAAUAAUGUAAAUUUAAUGUGUUGUCCUGAUUAGUCUUUGUAUACAUACACAUAUAUAUGUGAGCUAUAUAUGUAUAAGCUUUAUAUAUAUAUGUGUACGUAUAACAUUUUGGGGGAGAAUGAGGGAAAAGAUAAAAAUUCAGCAUUGUGACAAAGAUUCUACAAACAUUUAUUAACAGUUCCAAGUAAUGUAUUGCUGGUUUGAGUAUGAUUAGAAGUUAUUUGCAGUUGAACUCUGAAAAAUGAGAUGAAACUGAAAAUUAGUAUUGGAUAAUCAGUCAUCAUCCUAAGACCGGUUUCAUCUGCAUCUUGAGAAAAUAAAAAUUCACAAUAUUAACUUGGAAUUUUGCUCAGAAAUAAAAUUAUAAGUUAUUAGUGCAGUUAGUACAGUUGGAAAAGUAUACUGGAAAAAAAAAACCUCCAAGUGUACUAAUUUGUACUGGUUACACAGAGCACUAAUCUACCUUGCUGCAGAAGAAAUUUGCAUUCCAUAAAUAACAUCUUACCAGAAAUCUUGGAACCAUUUGAGUCCACACACAGUGAAUUAAAAGGUCUAUAAUUUCUGUUAUUUGCUAGUGCAAUUUACUGUAAAACUCUCAAGAGUGUAAUAUUUCAAACCAAAGGGUAAGUCAUAAAUUUCCAAGUGUUAGCAAAGAAUAGUAAAGGUUUGAAGACCUCUUAACACCUGGGGAAAUAAGUCAGGAUGUUAAAGUAGGAAUAAAAGAGUAUUGGUGAAACGGAAUCGAGCAUAAAAUAAUUUUUAAGAGAAUCCAGAAUUUCAUUAUAAAAUUCAUAGUCUAAUGGAUUCUUCAAAAGAAAGGGUUUGGGGAAAAAGAGAAUAAUUAAAAACUAGUCUUGACAUUCCAAUUACUGCCUGUUUUAUCGGAUAGGUUUAGCAAACUGAAAUGAAUUUUAACACAGGAUUGUCUGUACACAGGGGGGUUUAACUGUUGUGUUACGGAGAUACGUGUACCCCCAUCUCUGCCCCCCGCCCCCAAUUCGGGGGGUGGCUGGGUCUGCCCCACCCCCCCUCACACACUGCUCUCCCCCCUUACCCACACUGUCUCACAGCAGUUCACCCCCACCAUAUUUUAACCCAGUGCAUGACUGAGUGCUAAUACUGUAUAAAUAUUUUGAAACAUAUCUAAAGAAAGAAAUAUGUUUGCUUCAAAAUUUUUACAAUAGAGAAAUAUAUAAUUAUUAUGGUUGUCUUACAAAUUGUAUUGUGUUCUUCAUUUUUGUUAAAUAUGUAGAAAAACAUUAAGGGAAUGGGGGACUCGAAUGUCUGUGUGUACCGAAAUGUAUAUAACUAUUUGGGGAAAACACACGUGCCAAGUAUAACAUGAUGUAAAAAUUGUAAAUAUACGAAAAUUCAUUUUUCUAAUAAAGAUAAUUUCUGCCAAUUGAUAUGAAAAUGAA